UACAGAGGGUGCAAGCGUUGUUCGGAAUUAUUGGGCGUAAAGAGCUCGUAGGCGGUUUGUCGCGUCUGCCGUGAAAGUCCGGGGCUCAACUCCGGAUCUGCGGUGGGUACGGGCAGACUAGAGUGAUGUAGGGGAGACUGGAAUUCCUGGUGUAGCGGUGGAAUGCGCAGAUAUCAGGAGGAACACCGAUGGCGAAGGCAGGUCUCUGGGCAUUAACUGACGCUGAGGAGCGAAAGCAUGGGGAGCGAACAGG
rnacentral:rRNA from 1 species